UAUAUACUCCCUCAGUUCGAAAUUACUUGUUUUGGAUUUGUCAUGAUAUGGAUGUAUUGAUCUAGCUACAUCCAUAUCAUGACAAAUCCAAGACAAGUAAUUCGAACGGAGGGAGUAUAUG
rfam:Triticum aestivum genome assembly, contig: Triticum_aestivum_CS42_TGACv1_scaffold_578666_7BL